AGAGUUUGAUCCUGGCUCAGGACGAACGCUGGCGGCGCGCCUAACACAUGCAAGUCGAACGGAGCUUAGAGAGCUUGCUUUUUAAGCUUAGUGGCGAACGGGUGAGUAACGCGUGAGUAACCUGCCCUAGAGUGGGGGACAACAGUUGGAAACGACUGCUAAUACCGCAUAAGCCCACGGUACCGCAUGGUACUGAGGGAAAAGGAUUUAUUCGCUUUAGGAUGGACUCGCGUCCAAUUAGCUAGUUGGUGAGGUAACGGCCCACCAAGGCGACGAUUGGUAGCCGGACUGAGAGGUUGAACGGCCACAUUGGGACUGAGACACGGCCCAGACUCCUACGGGAGGCAGCAGUGGGGGAUAUUGCACAAUGGGGGAAACCCUGAUGCAGCGACGCCGCGUGGAGGAAGAAGGUUUUCGGAUUGUAAACUCCUGUCGUUAGGGACGAUAAUGACGGUACCUAACAAGAAAGCACCGGCUAACUACGUGCCAGCAGCCGCGGUAAAACGUAGGGUGCAAGCGUUGUCCGGAAUUACUGGGUGUAAAGGGAGCGCAGGCGGGAAGACAAGUUGGAAGUGAAAACCAUGGGCUCAACCCAUGAAUUGCUUUCAAAACUGUUUUUCUUGAGUAGUGCAGAGGUAGAUGGAAUUCCCGGUGUAGCGGUGGAAUGCGUAGAUAUCGGGAGGAACACCAGUGGCGAAGGCGGUCUACUGGGCACCAACUGACGCUGAGGCUCGAAAGCAUGGGUAGCAAACAGGAUUAGAUACCCUGGUAGUCCAUGCCGUAAACGAUG
rnacentral:rRNA from 1 species